rnacentral:rRNA from 1 species
CGGGACAAAGCGCGGGCCCCCGGCGUGUGGGCUAAGCUAGCCUAAGUGAGAAGCUUGGCGACGAAUUCAGAUUACAGGCCUAACACAUGCAAGUCGAGGGGCAGCAUGGUCUUAGCUUGCUAAGGCUGAUGGCGACCGGCGCACGGGUGAGUAACGCGUAUCCAACCUUCCCUUUAGUAGGGCAUAGCCCGUAGAAAUGCGGAUUAAUACCCUAUGUUUUCCGGAACGGCAUCAGAACUGGAACAAAGAUUGAUCGCUAAGGGAUGGGGAUGCGUACGAUUAGGUUGUUGGCGGGGUAACGGCCCACCAAGCCUGCGAUCGUUAGGGGUUCUGAGGAUGAAGGUCCCCCACACUGGGUACUGGAGACACCGGACCAGACUCCUACGGGAGGCAGCAGUGAGGAUAUUGGUCAAUGGGCGUGAGCCUGACCAGCAUUUAUCUCGCACUACACGCCUACGGGUUGUAACUGCUUUUAUCAGGGAUAAAGUGCGGCGACGUGUCUCUCAUUGCAGGUACUGAUGAUGAGGACGCUAUUCGUGCCACAGCCGCGGUAAUACGGAGGUCCGGGCGUAUCCGGAUUUAUUGGGGUUAAGGGAGCGCA